GCAACUAAUUCCAUGAGAAUGCAAAUAAAUCAUGCAUGAAAAUACUCACAAAUAUAAAAUAUACCUCUAUUCCAUGCAUGAAACUGCAUGUUUACAUAAUGUUUCAGCAUCCUUUGGAAGCUCGAGAUGUGCACGAUUUCAGCAUGAGUAUCAUGACACGAUGGCGGGAAAGAGAACUCUUCAGUGUUAGGAGUAACAUUUGAUGGUCUUCAUGCUGGAUAAUGCAUGCAUGCGAGAUUAGCUUCAUUACUCACUAGAAGGAGAGGGUUUUGGAAUAAAUACCUGUGGGACAGAAGUGACCAGUUGCAUCUUAUUCUAGGUCAAAGGAUCGGGAUACCAGAUCAAGUUCAAAAUUUGAGCUUGGAGGUCAGACAGCCAGCCCUUUGGACAUGCCAAAGUAAUACCUACAAGGGAACCAUUGUUCGUUUAUUUUCAGAUAGGUUUUCUUGCCAUAUGUUUCCUAUUUGCAUAAACAAUAGAA